UGCCAGCAGCCGCGGUAAUACGGAGGGUGCAAGCGUUGUUCGGAAUUAUUGGGCGUAAAGAGCAUGUAGGCGGCAUGGUGGGUCUGAUGUGAAAGCCCCUGGCUUAACCAGGGAAUUGCAUUGGAAACUGCCGGGCUUGAGGUCGGGAGAGGAGAGUGGAACUCCUAGUGGAGCGGUGAAAUGCGUAGAUAUUAGGAGGAACGCCGGUGGCGAAAGCGACUCUCUGGCCCGAUUCUGACGCUGAGAUGCGAAAGCUAGGGGAGCGAACGGGAUUAGAUA
rnacentral:rRNA from 1 species